UUGAGCCAUAGCUGCUGCAGCUUCGGGUGAUUGUGAGGGGAAAAUUGGUGGCUCUCAAGGAUCUUAUAAAGCUCUCUGAAAUUUCCUCUGUGGAAUGCGACCACAGCUUUAGCUUUGAGAACACUUUCAUUUUUGUGGAGGUGCUCACACGCGGGUAAAGACCACAAAAAGCGCCCGAGCCGUUCAAUGUUUCCACCCUGUUGGAGGACCUCGCAGACGCAAGCAACUUGCUCUUGCGUAAAGCCAAAAGUUGGAAGCAUAGACAUGGUUGCAAGUUAAUAAACAGGCGGAAAGUGCGCGCUGCAGGGCGACGGCGCAGUCACAUGCGUCCAUCAAAGUCUCUGCUGCAAGCGGGAGGAACCUGGCAGUGACAGGCCGAAUCAAGCUGGCAGCAGAGAGAGGCCACCUUGGGCAUAAGAGGUGAGGCCUACUCUUAACAUCACACCUCCAGCUAACCCCACCCCCAAUCUCCAGCUUCAGCCAGACAUUCUCAAAUUGAAUUAAGGUCCUGUUCUGUGCUGCAACCCCACGGACCCCUUCGAGAGCCCUCCUGAACCCCCUUGGCCCGGUCCUGUUCCCCUCAUCCAGCCGCCUCGGACUAAUUAAAACCGAUGUGGCCUUGUCUUCGCUGGAUUACCCCUAACGAGGAUUCACUGACUCCACCAGCAUGUGCCUCUUGAUGAGAGAAAGAGAGAGAGAGACAGAGACAGGGAUAGACAGAAAAAGAAAUGGGAGGAUUUGUCCAGGCAACCUUAGCCUUGAAACCCAACACUUAAUUCACUACAGAUGAUACAGAAAAGGUGGAAGAGAGAGAGAGAGAAAGAGACAAAUAUACUUAUGUUGAUAGUUUAAAUCACUAGUGUGUGUAGUGUUUUAAAAACUGUUAGUGAAACAAUUGAAACGUGGCCUUAUUGUGAAAAGAGUCAUAAAAUGGACCUCUGGUCAGCCCUCUAUGAAUCCAUACAGAGAGAUGAAUGCCAAUUCUCUUUCUUUCUUUGUGUGUGUGUGUGCGUGCGUGCCAGGGGCAGAGAAAAAAUACAUUCUCUGUCUUUGAUAAUGCAUUAAUAAUAAAAUGCAAUGUUA